rnacentral:rRNA from 1 species
GACGAACGCUGGCGGCGUGAUUAACACAUGCAAGUCGAACGGUAAGGCCCUUCGGGGUACACGAGUGGCGAACGGGUGAGUAACACGUGGGUGAUCUGCCCUGCACUUCGGGAUAAGCCUGGGAAACUGGGUCUAAUACCGGAUAGGACUCAUGGCUUCCUGGUUGGGGGUGGAAAGCUUGUGCGGUGUGGGAUGGGCCCGCGGCCUAUCAGCUCGUUGGUGGGGUAACGGCCUACCAAGGCGAGGACGGGGAGCCGGCCGGGGAGGGUGACCGGUCACACUGGGACUGAGAGGUGGGCCAGACUACUAGAGGAGGCAGCGGUGGGGGAGAUUGCACGAUGGGGGAAAGACUGAUGCAGCGACGCCGCGUGAGAGAUGACGGCCUUCGGGUUGUAAACCUCGUUCUGCUAUGGCGAAGCGGAAGUGACGGUAGGAGCAGAAGAAGGACCGGCCAGCUACGGGCCAGCAGCCGCCGUAA